rnacentral:hammerhead_ribozyme from 1 species
AUCCAGUAGACGAGUUCCAAAUAGGAUGAAACGCGCAUCCUAGAU